GGCCCGUCCUACACUCUUGGCUUGAAGCUAGAGUGCCCAGGCCACCGCCGAGACAGGUGGGCUUGCCUCUGAGCACGGGUUUGCGCAGCGUCUUAGGGCGUCCCCUGCCUAAAUACCUACAUCUCAACCACCUCUUGGAAGCAUUCCUGGAGCCCAGGAGACCCAAGGAUGAGGCUGGUGGAUGAAGAAGUAAGCUUGGGACAAUGAUAAUAAAAAGAAGCUAUGGGAUCCUAACUCCACAACAGCCAAGAAAAGGGGCGCUAAUGGUGGAGACAGGACAUGGACAGUGAACUCAGUGUGUUCCUGGAAAAGUUCCAAGAGAGGAGCUGCUCAGUGGAAGGAAAGAGUGGCCAGACCAGGAGGUGCUGGAACCACAGCCAAAAAGCCCAGCAGAACCCCAAUGCUCUCCCUUCAUUCCCUAGCUUCCCUUUCUUUCUUCUUCUACCAGUGGUGGGGGCUGAAGUCUAUGACCUCAGAGAGGCAGCCCUGUGAACAGAGUUUUCAGAACAUUUAGAAAGUUCCAUUUUCUGUGUCAUACCCAUUAUGCUGUGAGGAAGUAUGAAUUUCAGAGCCACUGGUAGGAGAGGAUCGUCCCCGGAGAAACUGAAAGCUCUUUAUUCAUUUUGUAACAGGUUCAAUUAGAAUGGACAACAUGAGUGACAUGGGUUGCUCAUCACAGAAGGUAGGUGUGAAUUUUAAGAUGUAUUUCUUUUGUUUUGUUUUUUUUUAACCUGUAUUUUCAACAUGUAGGGAAUUGGGGGGUGGGCCAGAAGGGAAUGUUUCAAUCAUAGACUAAUUGUCAUGUUAGAUCCUCUUGACUGAGCAAGUGUGUUUACUACAUUUUUAUGGUGUGUCCUUUGAAUUAUGCUUUUUGCUGAAUUAGGCUUUUCAAAAUCCUCAGGUUUUGCUGUGAAAAUUUUAGGAAUAGACACCUGUUGUUCCUUUCCCUUCCCUUCCAAGGCCGUUAGAUGAUCUUUUCCAUCCAACAAUUCCCAACACUGGGUGUACAUCAAAAUAUCCUAGACAGCCUCUUGAAAACAGAGACUUAGCCUCACUUCUGAAGGUUCUGAUCCAGAAAGGUUGGAGUGGGGUCCCCAAAUCUGUAUUUUUAACUAAGAAUUGAGUGAUUCUGUUAUAGCAGGUCCUCAGAUGAGCAUUUGGGAAUGGCCUCCAAGAAUGUGCAAACAACAUGUGUAGUCGGAAAUCAGCCCUCUGAAAGUAAUAGUUCUACCUAAUCUAGGUGUCAGAAUCUUGGUUUUAAAAGCCAAGACCCACUAGGUUGACACACACUAAAGUGCCCAAAGGAGCAUUUUAAAUUGAAAUGAAAACUCCCUGCAGCUUACCAGAGAAAACACUUAAACGUUAACAUUUUUAACAAUGAUUUUGCUUACUGGGUGGUUCUUACAAAAAUCACUAUCUCUUUCCCCUUGAAGAUGCCACAGAGAAUUCUUAGCCAGGUAUGGUCAAUCAAGAAAAGUAUCUUUGUUCUGUUCCGGAAUUGAUUUCUAGAUCUGCUGAUCCUGUGCGUAUCCCACGUUUUCCUUCCUGUCCCAUGCACUGAGAUGUAUUCUGCUCUCAGGGAAUUUAUGGCUCUGUGUGUAUAAGUCUUAGUCUGUGCCUAUAAACUAGCUCAAAUUUAAUUUGUUCUUCAGAGUUUCUGCUCUAUUACGUUCUGUAAAAUUCUUAACGUCUUUCUUGCAAAAUGUUGUUUUGCUUUCUUUAUUUUCCCAAGAAUGGCUUAUCUCUUUGUAUGAUGAUUCAGCUUCCUCUGUGUCUGCCCCUUGGAUGACCAUCUCUCAGUAUGGGGGAGCAUAAAUAUAAUUCAGUCUGACUCAAACCCAAAAGGAAAUCUCUGGGCUCAAGUAACUGAGAAGUGCAAAUUGGAUCCAGGAGUCCAGCUGCUGUCAUUGGGAGUCCAUCUUUCGCCUUCUGGGAGUUAUGCUUCCUUCUAUGUUGGCUUUAUUUUAAGGAAAGCUUUAUUCUCACAUCAGGCAAAGAUGGCUAUUGAGAGUGCCUCUUUCUCAGUAGGUCUGGUGAAAGUGUCGGGAAGACUCUCAUCAGCCCAGGUUAGGUCACAGGUCUGUCCCUGAA
ensembl:lncRNA